UUACGUAUGGUAGCUCAGCAGAGCCAAACCAGCUAGGGAUCGUGUAAUAAUGGACAGACACGUGAAUGCUGUUUGGAUCCAAACAAAGAAAAUCUCCUUCUUGCUGUACACAAAGUACUAAGAGCAAUGGACGUGCCAGUAGCACAUUGUGUAACGCCCCUAGAACGUUGGAAGCAGGCCACAAUUAUACAAAAGGAGAGGUGUGACAAAAAUUGCAACCACUGAUGUAAAUAUGAAUAAAUACACACAGAAAUGUUGUCAUUUGGGAUGGGCAAACACAAUUUAGAAGUUCUAAAUCAUUUUAAAAUUCCUUCAGACCAUUAGAAGUUGUUCUUAAAUGUUUCAUGAAACACUGGAUCAUUUUUACAGUGUUAUUUGAAAACAGUGGUUCCUCCUGGAAAAUGGAUGAUGUGGGAAUCCAACUUGUGUUUGCUUGAUCAAAGUUAUUAUAGUGGGCAAGAUGCCUGCACUUGCCAAGGUUGUAGGCUGCAUUCAGCACUGACAAACUCAUAGCUGGAAACCAGACCAGUUCACAUGUAUGUUAGUAUAGUUCAAAAUAUGUUAGACUUGUAAAGAUAUGUUCAGACACUAUAUAAUGCUUGUAAGCUGCUGCAGGCAUUAAUCUUACUUUUAAUGUCUGUAUCCCAUGCUAUAAAGUAAUAUGCAGGUUUUGCUUUAUAACUUUAUAAAAAUGCCUGCUCUGCACUUGUGAACUCAGACAGGAGGAAAGUUAGUCAAAAAGGACUAUCAAAAUGAAGUGGGCCAUUGUGAAGCAUCAGGAUAAAAAGACUGGGCUAAUGGCCUGGCAGACCUAUAAAGGUGCUCUGUACAAGGAAGCUCAUCCCAUCAUCUUGAAUUCUGGAAGAAGGAAAUAAAGACAGCUGACAUGAAAAUUCUUCAGCUGUUUGGACACUCAGAGAACUGGAGCUUGGAAACAAAAGCAGAGAUCCCAAGGUCAACCUCAGUUAACCCUAAAAGAUGGACUGGCUACAAGUGUUGGCUUUCGUGUGAGAUGCAAGGUACAAAUUGUCCCGGGAUAAGUCACUGGUCUCUUGGAACAGGGAGAAAGCUGAAUCUUAUGGGAUUUUAGGUGUAAGUGACCAUAUAUCAUUACACUCAGCUUGCCUCGGCGGC
rnacentral:lncRNA from 1 species